AUAACAAAACAGGACUCUUUCGAGGCCCUGUAAUUGGAAUGAGUACACUUUAAAUCCUUUAGCGAGGAUCUAUUGGAGGGCAAGUCUUGUGCAGAGCAACUGACCCGUGCGUGCUGCAG